CCUACGGGAGGCAGCAGUGGGGAAUAUUGCACAAUGGGGGAAACCCUGAUGCAGCGACGCCGCGUGAGUGAAGAAGUAUUUCGGUAUGUAAAGCUCUAUCAGCAGGGAAGAAGAAAGACGGUACCUGACUAAGAAGCGCCGGCUAACUACGUGCCAGCAGCCGCGGUAAUUCGUAGGGGGCAAGCGUUAUCCGGAUUUACUGGGUGUAAAGGGAGCGUAGACGGGUGUGCAAGUCUGAAGUGAAAGGCCAGGGCUCAAACCCGGGACUGCUUUGGAAACUGUAGAGCUAGAGUGCGGGAGAGGUAAGUGGAAUGCGUGGUGUAGCGGUGAAAUGCGUAGAUAUUAGGAGGAACACCAGUGGCGAAGGCGGCUUACUGGACAGUAACUGACGUUGAGGCUCGAAAGCGUGGGGAGCAAACAGGAUUAGAUACCCGUGUAGUC
rnacentral:rRNA from 1 species